UACGAAGGGGGCUAGCGUUGCUCGGAAUCACUGGGCGUAAAGCGCACGUAGGCGGACUCUUAAGUCAGGGGUGAAAUCCUGGAGCUCAACUCCAGAACUGCCUUUGAUACUGGGAGUCUUGAGUUCGGGAGAGGUGAGUGGAACUGCGAGUGUAGAGGUGAAAUUCGUAGAUAUCGGGAGGAACAUCAGUGGCGAAGGCGGCUACCUGGCCCAAUACUGGACACUCAGGUGCGACAGCGUGGGGAGCGAACAGG
rnacentral:rRNA from 1 species